ensembl:lncRNA
GUUUUGAACAUCUAAUUACUUGGCUUGAUUAAAGGGAGACUGUACAGAAAUUUUACUUUUUAACACAACAAAAAAUCAAAAUAUAAAAAGAAGUGAAAACAGGCAUCCAGUCCACCAGAACACAAACCCAUUAAGUACAAAAUAGUGAGCAUCUUUUUAUUAAUGAUAAUGCUAUAAGAACGCAUCUGUUUUAUUACACUUCUUUUCACUCUCAAAUUAAAAAGUAGCCUUUACUGAUGCUUGGACUGCUUUCAGAAGCAAUGCAUGAUAAUGCUGCCACCUCAUGGUUGCAACAUCAUAUACAUCCUACACAGCAGUUUAUAUUUUAGGUCAUGUUUAAAAAUAUGAAACUGGUUUAUGUAGAUUUAGAUGCAGGUAUGCUCUUUAAGUUUUAAAACUUAAAAUUUUUUGGAACACUUGCUGACCUGACCACACAGUCAAGCAACCACAAGAUCAGAUGCCGUUUUCUGAAGAACUUGCUGAAAGAGCUGCACAUCUUGAGCCUGUAAAAUCUCAACUUGAAUGAAUGGAUUAAAUUGCCAGAUAACAUUUUAUGAUAUGCUACUGCAUAUUUACAUUUAAUAAAAUCAACACUUUAAAUCCACUUAAACAAAACAAUUUUAACUCAUAACUUAACUGUAACUUAUAUAUGAUUUCAACUUGGAUGGAUGGAAAGGAUUUCUACAACAGUCAGAUUAAAAUCAUCUUAACAAAUAAAUGUAAACACUUUUAGACAAAUCAGCACAGCUGACAGGCAAAGGUGAUUUACACCAGUUAACACACCACAACGAGCCAAGUCAUUAAAAUCACAUGAGACUCUUCAGUCCUGCGUCCUGAACUACACCAGAACAGGAUUUUAGUACAGAUUCGCAUAACACAGCUCAUGGUCCAUGUCAUGUGGGGUACAAACAUGCAGGGAUACAUUGCACAGACAUCCAAACGGCUUUAUAGAUGGAACAUAAAUUUUCACUUUACUGCUUGUCCAGAAGCCCUGGCAAAUACGACAAGUAUGUUUGGUGUCUUGGAUUUGCACAUGAAGGAAGAAUAGGACAUUUUGGGAAAUAAUGCUUAUUUGCUCUUUGCCAGAGGUUUAAGAUUUGAUCAAUACUAAUUUACUGUCUGUAUGUUCACCGCAAGGUCAGUUCCCAAAUUUAGCACAGAGACUGCAAACAGAAUGAAAAGAGCCUGAUGCUGUCCAAAAGUUGAAAACAGUCCUGCAGGGACUUCAUGAAGCAACUUAGCCAUGAAUCAGUCGUAUUAAACAAAUUAGAUAUGAUUAAAUAUAACAUAUUAAAAGAUGAUUUAAUAACACUGGCUACAGCCGGCCCUUUCUCCUUGUUUCCAGUCUUUGUUUGAGGAUAAUCUAACUGCUGUCCUACAUUUACAGACAUCUGACUUUCCCUGGACAGCAAACUGUCUGUUUCUGUGAUGAUUUAAAUGAUAUGAAUGAGAGUCAUACUUAUCAAACUUUACAAGAAAGUGCAACUGUGUCCCUCUCAUUCAUAUCGAAGGAAGGCAAUGUCAACAUGUAUCAGCAUUUGUUUUAUAAAGUGCCUAGUUAACCCCAACCACCUCUUCUUCAGUAAUAUUGUAAGCAAAAUUUGGUUAUUCUGAGUUCCAUUAAAAUGUUACAAUUUAUUGUAAAAUACAAAUACAUAUUUAUUUUUCACUUCAAACAACAUAUCACAAAACUGGUUUCAAAAAGCAUCCUGGGAUUUUUAGGACUUAAAAGAAGAGAUUUUCAUUUUCAGAACAAAGAAUAUAAAGUCACAAAGAAUAUAAAGAGAAGAAAGAGAAGAGAAGAAAUCUGCUGGAUUCUUUUCUAUCUUGCUCUUCUUAUGUGGGUAUGUCUCCAUUUUCUAUCUACGUAGGUAAGUAUUCGACAUUUUAAAGCAUGUAUGGGUGGCCUCCCUUAUUAGUCACAUUAAGGAAGUAGUCUCUGAAGAUCAGAUAUUACCCACGAUUCGCUGGCAGCAGUCACUUGCAGAUGACACGCUAGGUCGCUUAGGCUCUGACCACUCCUACAGAAACAGAAGAGGGUGUGGAAUAAUUACUGUGUGUGUGUGAAUAACAGGAAGUUUAGAUUUUUCAGUAACAAUUUUUCAUCAUCAAUUCAUCAAUU